GACGGGGGGGCAAGUGUUCUUCGGAAUGACUGGCGUAAAGCGCGCGCAGGCGGUCUUCCAAGUCAGUGGUGAAAGCCCGGAGCUCAACUCCGGAACUGCCAUUGAAACUGUUAGACGUUGAGGACGAGAGAGGUGAGUGGAAUUCCCAGUGUAGAGGUGAAAUUCGUAGAUAUUGGGAAGAACACCGGUGGCGAAGGCGGCUACACUGGCUCGUUUCUGACGCUCAGGCGCGACAGCGUGGGAUCGAAACAGG
rnacentral:rRNA from 1 species